rnacentral:rRNA from 1 species
GACGAACCACACGAACGUUAUUCGGAAUUACUGGGCUUAAAGGGUGCGUAGGCUGCGCAGAAAGUUGGGUGUGAAAUCCCUCGGCUCAACCGAGGAACUGCGCCCAAAACUACUGUGCUUGAGGAAGAUAGAGGUAAGCGGAACUUACGGUGGAGCGGUGAAAUGCGUUGAUAUCGUAAGGAACACCUGUGGCGAAAGCGGCUUACUGGGUCUUUUCUGACGCUGAUGCACGAAAGCCAGGGGAGCAAACGGG